UACGGGGGGGGCAAGCGUUGUUCGGAAUUACUGGGCGUAAAGGGCUCGUAGGUGGCCAACUAAGUCAGACGUGAAAUCCCUCGGCUUAACCGGGGAACUGCGUCUGAUACUGGAUGGCUUGAGUUUGGGAGAGGGACGCGGAAUUCCAGGUGUAGCGGUGAAAUGCGUAGAUAUCUGGAGGAACACCGGCGGCGAAGGCGGCGUCCUGGACCAACACUGACACUGAUGAGCGAAAGCCAAGGGGAGCAAACGGG
rnacentral:rRNA from 1 species